CUCCACAUCGCCCACCAUUCACAAAGCCUCAGGGUGAGUGUCUCUCCUCUCAUUGGUCCAUACUCCACAUCGCCCACCAAUCACAAAGCCUCAGGGUGAGUGUCUCUCCUCUCAUUGGUCCAUACUCCACAUCACCCACCAUUCACAAAGCCUCAGGGUGAGUGUCUCUCCUCUCAUUGGUCCAUACUCCACAUCACCCACCAAUCACAAAGCCUCAGGGUGAGGUGUCUCUCCUCUCAUUGGUCCAUACUCCACAUCACCCACCAAUCACAAAGCCUCAGGGUGAGUGUCUCUCCUCUCAUUGGUCCAUACUCCACAUCGCCCACCAUUCACAAAGCCUCAGGGUGAGUGUCUCUCCUCUCAUUGGUCCAUACUCCACAUCACCCACCAUUCACAAAGCCUCAGGGUGAGUGUCUCUCCUCUCAUUGGUCCAUACUCCACAUCGCCCACCAAUCACAAAGCCUCAGGGUGAGGUGUCUCUCCUCUCAUUGGUCCAUACUCCACAUCACCCACCAAUCAGAAAG
rnacentral:lncRNA from 1 species